UCAGCUUAGCAAAGUGGAUAUUGCGAUGGCGUUUGAAGCAAACGGUAGUGAGUUCAAGUCCCAGAGUGAAC
rnacentral:tRNA from 1 species